AGAUGCAUUACAAGGCAACACCACCAUUGGCAGUCUGCCGUCAUAUAUAUAUUAGAUGUGUUCUUUCUGAAUGUACUAAUGUAUGGCGAGCAAACUGCCAAAGGAGAUUUGCCCGGCAAUUCUCUU